rnacentral:lncRNA from 1 species
UUUGUGUGCUGGAGGGAGGGUCCGUGGAGAGGGGUGUGUCUUAGAUACCUGGUUUCCUCCUCAUUUUUGGUUGGCCCAAAGAUGCACCACUUGAUGUUAAAGCACAAGAAGUAACCUGGCUUUGUCUAAUAACGUGAAAUCCAAUCUCUGGCAAGCGCCCUCGACUGUCGGGUCUGGGCCGUGGGACCAGAGGAGGAGAGAGAGGCCAGGGCGGCCGUCGCGGUCGUCAUGGAGACGGCAGCAGCCGAAACCCUUCAGGAGGAAGAGGUGGCAGCCUCGGUGUGGUGCUCUUGCGCCACCUGCCGACAGAUGCGCCUCGUUGCAGCUCCCGAACGCUCCAGUCCUUCGAGCUAGAGAUGCAUUGAAUCCACCCGAGGAAAUCCGCAUUCUUACUAGUGUAGGCUACCAUUUUGUUGGACCAAGUAACUUUUAUUUUCAUCUGUUAAAAUAAUAUAUGACCAUAGCAGGAGGC